rnacentral:tRNA from 1 species
GCCCGCGUAGCUCAGUUGGUAGAGCAAUCGCCUUGUAAGCGAUAGGCCGUCCGUUCAAGUCGCGACCGUGGGCACCA